rnacentral:rRNA from 1 species
UACGGUAGGGGGCUAGCGUUGUUCGGAAUUACUGGGCGUAAAGCGCGCGUAGGCGGAUCUGCAAGUCGGGGGUGAAAUCCCGAGGCUCAACCUCGGAACUGCCUUCGAUACUGCGGGUCUCGAGUCCGGGAGAGGUGAGUGGAAUUCCUAGUGUAGAGGUGAAAUUCGUAGAUAUUAGGAAGAACACCAGUGGCGAAGGCGGCUCACUGGCCCGGUACUGACGCUGAGGCGCGAAAGCGUGGGGAGCAACAGGA